rfam:Gemella haemolysans ATCC 10379 ctg1119035638554, whole genome shotgun sequence.
UUGUACAGACAAAAUAUAGCACAUAUAAAGGCAAGAAUAUGGCUUGCAAGUUUCUACCAUCAGACCGUAAAUUUGAUGACUAUGGGCAUUCUUAUUAUAAUA